GGUAAAUAUAUUUAUAACAUCGCACGGUGUGUCGGCAUAACUGGUAACACAAUGUCUGUCGGUGAUUUUCUCUGCAGCGGACUGUCUGUUGGUGAUUUUCUCUCUGUCAGACUGUCUGUCGUUGAAAGGGUAGUUUGUCGGUAAAUUUUUUACCGACAGGGCUUAUAGCGACUAACUUGAUCUGACGGUAUAUCUCUACAUCGAUGGACUAUCUGACGGUAAAACGUCUUAUACCGACGGACCAUCCAACGUUGUUCUGAGGUUGUGGUGUAGUGUCUAUUCUGUUUCAAAAUCUGGACAGAUCUGGUAUUUCUCAUUUUCAGCUAAAUUAACUUCAGAAUCUGGGAAAAAGUUGUAUAUGAAAAUUGUAGAGGAUUUUAUAGGCUUUUCAACAAUGUAAAGAUCGUCACCAAAGGAUUUAUGGAGACCGAGAUAUGACUUCUGCAAGUUACUACAUAUGUGCUAAGACAUUGUGAGGAGGAAUAAUAUGUUUGGCUGUUUUACCUAAGCUUAAAGACAGA
rnacentral:lncRNA from 1 species